rnacentral:rRNA from 1 species
AUGAAGCUUUUGGAUCUUGGGGAGGGGGAAGCCUGCGGGCGUGAGAGCAGCCCAAGCAAGGCCCCGCCGCCGCCGUCCGUCGCACAGGGCUUAGCCCGGCGACAUCCUCCGGCGACGGCCAGGGAAGGGAGCGGUGGUGGGGGGUUGGUUUGGUGGUGGCGGCGAGGGGCCUCCGGAGUCGCCACGAGCGACCCGGGAGGCAGCUUGAAACUAGCCCCGUCCCCUAGAGCUAAGCAAGAAGGCCUUGAGAAGAAAUUCAAGUUGAUAAGAAGAGUAGGAACAACAAACAUGCACUUGCUUGACUCGGAUGGGAAGAUUCGAAAAUAUGACACCCCAGAGGACAGAAGUAAUGUUAGAAAACAUCAGAAAAGAGUUGUUGAUGCCGAAGAACAAAGAAGAGGGCAGAGCUAUUCCUGGAGCUUAAGCAGAAGGGGUAUGAGCCUUUCCCAGAGGAAAAAAAUCACGGCCGAGCCGGUUGCUGUAGGAGUUACAGCAGUAGAUGAAGCUGCAGCAGGAGUUAAUGCGAGUGAAUAUGAGUAUCUUCUCGCAAUGACAGAUGGUACCUUGACUCCGGAGAAGAUACAGGAGCUCAUCGCACUGCAGAAGAAUUUAGAGGACAAAGUUGAAAGUCUCUGCAAAACAACUCCAGAGACUCUUUGGCUGAGAGACCUUGAUGCUCUUGAAAAGGAAUUGGAUGUGAUUGAUGCCAAAUUUGAAGCUGAAGAACAGGUGCGGAAAAAAGCAGCACUACACAAGGAACAGCGUUGGAAUACUCUGGUCAAAUCUCAGAAGGCAAGUGCACCGGUGAGAGAUGAUGAGGACGAAGCUUUCGAACUAAAAAAUCGUCUGCUUGCUUAUAAUCUUGAUGAAUCCUCUCCAGAACGUAGUGGCGCGGAAACUGAGAAUACAGAAGGACAGCAGAAAAGGGAAAAGAAAAGAAGGAACGAGCCAAGCAAAAGAGGAAGCAACUGCAGUGCUCCUUCUCCUGCGAAGAAGGUACGAAAGAUGAGGGAAUCCCCCUUCAACAAGAGGAGCGGCCUCGAUUUGCGUUAG